UUCAGCUGAUGAACACAUGCAUGCCCAUUAACCAUUUUGGUUGUCAAGGGAGUUACAGACAGGCCGGCAUCGAAUUUUUAUUAUGGAAUGCAUUAUUUACUCCUACCUUCCCACACUCUCACACAUCAAACACAGGCAAACCACACCAACCAGGCUGUUUGGGCUUCCCAUCAAUGAAACCACCAAGCUGCCACAAGGAAAAUUCCUUGUCUCAACGCCUCCUCUGAGGACCCAAGCUUUCACGACCUCAUCUGUCGUCCUCGGCUUCAAUUCUUCCUCAGCCGAUUCCCCGGGUGACUUCUCUGUCUUGAUUCAGACAAGUGCUGUACUCCUUUUUGUCUAUUGGCUUGCAAAUUUCGUCGUACCAGGCAUAGUUUCAAAAUAUCUCCAAUCUGAUGGAUCGAGUGAAGACGAAGCUCGCACUGAUAAAAAUCCCUAACAAGAUGGAGGAAGCACGCGUACCACCAGUAAAUCAGGAUCAAGUGCGAAGAAAUACAGCUUCAAGAAGACAUACUGGUAUUUGUUUUCUGGGUUUCUCAUUGGUAAAACAUCUUUUAAGACCAUGCCUUAGCUUGUUUCAUCCACAGUCCAAAUAUUGCAAUGUCAGAGGAUACUGACUUUGAGUUUGAACGUGUAUCGAACUGAAUAAUGAUAUAUGUCACUACAUUGAAUUCAUCCA